rnacentral:rRNA from 1 species
CAGUCGCCGCGGGAAUACGAAGGGUGCAAGCGUUACUCGGAAUUACUGGGCGUAAAGCGUGCGUAGGUGGUGGUUUAAGUCCGUUGUGAAAGCCCUGGGCUCAACCUGGGGAUUGCAGUGGAUACUGGAUCACUAGAGUGUGGUAGAGGAUAGUGGAAUUUCCGGUGUAGCAGUGAAAUGCGUAGAGAUCGGAAGGAACAUCUGUGGCGAAGGCGACUAUCUGGGCCAACACUGACACUGAGGCACGAAAGCGUGGGGAGCAAACAGGAUUAGAUACCCCAGUAGUCCCUGUCUCUUAUAC